GCUUAUGGCCACACCGCCUGGUUCACGUCCGAUCUCGUUUGAUCUCGGAAGCUAAAAUAGGUUGGGCCUGGUUAGUACUUGCAUGGGAGACUGCCUGGGAAUAGCAGGUGCUGUAAGCU
ensembl:rRNA 5S_rRNA 5S ribosomal RNA